GUCUCCAAUAAUCAGAUGAAUCUGGCAUUUCCCAUUUUUCAGUAUAGUAAAAUGUUUUGUCCUUUGUGUGUUCAUGCUUUAAUUUUAGCUCAGGAAUACGAGGUCUUCUGACUGUCGUAAAGUCUGGAAGUUUCGAACCAGUAACCUCGAUUUUCUCUCGUGCUCCCCCGUCAAGAGCAUUUAUUUCUAUUUCAUAAAUCGGCAUUGACUGAUUUGUGAUCCCAUUCAGAGUAACAAUUUCUCUCGGUUCAUGGCGUUUUGGCUUCAAAUUUAACAUUUUUGCUGCGUCCCGAGAAACAAAGUUCCUAGCAGAACCAGUGUCUAAAUAAGCCCACAUCACCUCCCCCCAAAUCUUGACUGGAAUAAUGGCUGGUAAAGAAUUCUUCUCAGGAGACCUGCUGUAACCAUUGAGUACACCCCCCGUCUCCAAUUUGGGAUUUUGGUUCUUGUCGCAUAUACUGGUGUGAUGCUUUGACCCACACUUGAAACAACCUCGGCUACUGCACUGGGACCCCCUAUGACCAGUAUGUCCACAAUUGAAGCGUAAGUUCUUGUCGACAAAGAACCUCCUUCUCUGAUCUCGUGUAACUACUCUUUUGCACUCAUCACUCCAGUGUUCCUCACUACAUAAUAUGCACUUCGAUUUCAGUUUCCCAUCCCCCCGUACCAAUUUCUUUCUCUCUUCCGGUUAUCACUUGGGGGUUUGAAACCAUCAUCAC